CGUGUAGGCGGCUUAGCAAGUCGGGUGUGAAAGCCCUCGGCUCAACCGAGGAAGUGCGCCCGAAACUGCUGAGCUUGAGUACCGGAGAGGAUGGCGGAAUUCCCCAAGUAGAGGUGAAAUUCGUAGAUAUGGGGAGGAACACCGGUGGCGAAGGCGGCCAUCUGGACGGAUACUGACGCUGAGACGCGAAAGCGUGGGGAGCAAACAGGAUUAGAUACCCUGGUAGUCCACGCCGUAAACGAUGAGAACUAGGUGUCGUGGGUGUUGACCCCCGCGGUGCCGUAGCCAACGCAUUAAGUUCUCCGCCUGGGAAGUACGGCCGCAAGGCUAAA
rnacentral:rRNA from 1 species